rnacentral:rRNA from 1 species
CUAACACAUGCAGUCGAACGGGCACUUCGGUGCUAGUGGCGGACGGGUGAGUACGCGUGGGAACAUACCCUUUGGUUCGGAAUAGCCUCGGGAAACUGGGAGUAAUACCGGAUAAGCUCUUCGGAGGAGAGAUUUAUCGCCAAAGGAUUGGCCCGCGUUGGAUUAAGUAGUUGGUGGGGUAAUGGGCUACCAAGCCGACGAUCCAUAGCUGGUUUGAGAGGAUGAUCAGCCACACUGGGACUGAGACACGGCCCAGACUCCUACGGGAGGCAGCAGUGGGGAAUCUUAGACAAUGGGGGCAACCCUGAUCUAGCCAUGCCGCGUGAUCGAUGAAGGCCUUAGGGUUGUAAAGAUCUUUCACUGGGGAGGAUAAUGACGGUACCCACAGAAGAAGCCCCGGCUAACUCCGUGCCAGCAGACGCGGUAAUACAGAGGGAGCU